GUGGAUAAUUGGUGGAGGCUCCUGGAUACUCACCCGGCGACUGUGACUAAUUGAUGUAGUGUCUUGGGGGUUGGUGUGGGGGUUGUUGAGAAGGGUUGGAAGGACACCUGGCUGGCUGUUCUGGGAGCCAUAUGGGGGCCUCUGGGACAUGAGGGGAUGCUGGGCAGGGCCAGUCCCCAAUGUAGUCACCAGCCUGCCAACUGCCUCAAACCCUCCUUCCCAGCAUCUUUGUGGUCACCUGGAAGCUGGUUUGUCUCUCUCCAGGGUUCAGGCUCUGUCCCAUAGGGUUUGGAUCUUGUUACCCCUUCUUCUGUGUUUCUUGGUCUCUUUUGCUAUCCACAGGCAGGUCUCAGGGUUUCAGCCGGCAGCUGGGGACACUGGGAGGUUCCAUGACAGUUGGAGUGGUUCCAGGAAGUUAGGAAGUUGGCCAUGGACUUGAACCCCAUUCUAUCCCUGGAGGACCUGGUCUCUUCCCUGGGAGGAGGACCGUAAGUUCAUCCUGCGGGGCUGGUCUCUGGUCUUCAGCAUCGUCGCGGCCAUGAUGAUGCUCAGUGUGGGCGAUGGGCACGUGGCCUAUGCUGAGGGCUCCUACACGGGUUACCUGGGCUUCUGGACUGACUGCAGGAGGAACAAGUGCGCCAACGUGGGCCAAGUCAUUGUCUCCUAGAAAAGGAAAACAUUACCUCAGAAGAUAACACCAGCCGUGACCUCAUGCUGCCCCAUCUGAAGGAGGCCACCCAGAUCACAGACGCGGUGAAGGUCCUGGACCUGUCCACCUGGGAGCCUGACGUGGGGAGCACCGCACCGUUUCAGGCUGGGGCAGCAUCGAUCCAGAUAAAUGUCCACCUGGGACAGAAUGUGCCACAUGGAGCCCAGGCUCCUGGGCCUAAGGGAGGAGGAGAGUGGGUGCCAGGACUCCUGGGAGUG